CCUACGGGUGGCAGCAGUGAGGAAUAUUGGUCAAUGGACGCGAGCCUGAACCAGCCAAGUAGCGUGAAGGAUGACUGCCCUACGGGUUGUAAACUUCUUUUAUAAAGGAAUAAAGUGAGGCACGUGUGCCGUUUUGUAUGUACUUUAUGAAUAAGGAUCGGCUAACUCCGUGCCAGCAGCCGCGGUAAUACGGAGGAUCCGAGCGUUAUCCGGAUUUAUUGGGUUUAAAGGGAGCGUAGAUGGGUUCUUAAGUCAGUUGUGAAAGUUUGCGGCUCAACCGUAAAAUUGCAGUUGAGACUGGGAGUCUUGAGUACAGGUGAGGUAGGCGGAAUGCGUGGUGUAGCGGUGAAAUGCUUAGAUAUCACGAAGAACUCCGAUUGCGAAGGCAGCUUACUAGACUGCAACUGACACUGAUGCUCGAAAGUGUGGGUAUCAAACAGGAUUAGAUACCCCUGUAGUC
rnacentral:rRNA from 1 species